UGACAAAGAAGACUAACAUUCUGUUAUUUGCAAUAUAGCUAUAGUGAUUCAUGAUGAACAAAGGGAACGUAUAAGCACUAUGGAACCAUGGUAAUUACUUUGGAAGUCCGUCUUAACCCUUGAUGCUCACCCUUCAAUUGUCAACCUCAGUAUUCCCAGACUCCCAGACCAAGCCCAUGCAUUUAUGUGAAGUUUUGUUAAGAUUUUGGCUUGCACUUUAAUUAUUUACUUAAGGUUAAAAUGUAUGUAUAUACCCCCUUCUUUACCAAUGUUCGGAUAUACGCUCAUUUA